ensembl:miRNA Mir743a microRNA 743a
UGCAGUGCUGUAUUCAGAUUGGUGCCUGUCAUGUUUAUAAGAAUGAAAGACGCCAAACUGGGUAGAGUGGAGCUCA